UAGUUAGCGGCGGACGGGUGAGUAACACGUGGGCAACCUGCCCUGUAGAUCGGGAUAACAUCGAGAAAUCGGUGCUAAUACCGGAUAAUUUCUAGAAUCUCAUGGUUCUAGAAUAAAAGAUGGCUCCGGCUAUCACUACGGGAUGGGCCCGCGGCGCAUUAGCUAGUUGGUAAGGUAACGGCUUACCAAGGCGACGAUGCGUAGCCGACCUGAGAGGGUGAUCGGCCACACUGGGACUGAGACACGGCCCAGACUCCUACGGGAGGCAGCAGUAGGGAAUCUUCCGCAAUGGACGAAAGUCUGACGGAGCAACGCCGCGUGAGUGAUGAAGGAUUUCGGUUCGUAAAGCUCUGUUGUUAGGGAAGAACAAGUGCCGUUCAAAUAGGGCGGCACCUUGACGGUACCUAACCAGAAAGCCACGGCUAACUACGUGCCAGCAGCCGCGGUAAUACGUAGGUGGCAAGCGUUGUCCGGAAUUAUUGGGCGUAAAGCGCGCGCAGGCGGUCUUUUAAGUCUGAUGUGAAAGCCCACGGCUCAACCGUGGAGGGUCAUUGGAAACUGGGAGACUUGAGUACAGAAGAGGAGAGUGGAAUUCCACGUGUAGCGGUGAAAUGCGUAGAUAUGUGGAGGAACACCAGUGGCGAAGGCGACUCUCUGGUCUGUAACUGACGCUGAGGCGCGAAAGCGUGGGGAGCAAACAGGAUUAGAUACCCUGGUAGUCCACGCCGUAAACGAUGAGUGCUAGGUGUUAGGGGGUUUCGAUGCCCUUAGUGCCGAAGUUAACACAUUAAGCACUCCGGCUGGGGGAGUACGACCGCAAAGGUUGAAACUCAAAAGGAAUUGACGGGGGGCCCGCACAAAGCAGUGGGAGCAUGUGGGUUUAAUUCCGAAGCAACGGCGAAA
rnacentral:rRNA from 1 species